AUAACAUUAGAAAACAAUUAAAGGCUGCCUUACAUUAAAGGCAUAAAUGGAUUUCUAGAAGCCUUAGGACUGUGAAGACUUCAAUAUUCAAACAGGUUUUUAGCUCUUAGCUUUUGGAUUUGUUUGUGUUUAAAAGUGGCCCUGAGGGGAGUGUAGAAUGGUCAGAUUUGACAUCUGUAUCUAUCUCAACUUUGCUUAUGAGAAAAAAAACAGCUGAAGAAUGUUAUGAUUUUCUUCUUGCCCCUUUUAGACUUAUAAAUGACUACAUGGAUAGCUUCACAAGAAC
rnacentral:lncRNA from 1 species